rnacentral:lncRNA from 1 species
CUGAAAGUGAUCUUUUCAAAAUAUUUUCAUUAGUAGAAGAUCGUUUUUCCGGCUAUUACCAUUUAAGGCUUCCUAAACUCAAGACUGUUUGAGACUCAUGUAAAUCACACUCCAUGUCUCAAGUAGGAAAAAUAUGAGAGUGCAAGACAGAUCCAUAAUUUCACUUUGAGUAAGCAGAAGCCUCCUUUGUGAUUAGACUGCAACCCCAGAUUCUGUGUGCCCAAAUGUGCUUCUUUCCCUUUACUUCCAUUGUGCUGAUAUGAAGCACACUAACUUAUGGACUUCCAAGAUGCCUAGUCAUGGUCUUAAUCCACCUCUUGGGAAACCC